UACAGAGGGGGCAAGCGUUGUUCGGAAUUACUGGGCGUAAAGGGCGCGUAGGCGGCCUGCUAAGUCGAACGUGAAAAUCCCCCGGCUUAACCGGGGACUGCGUCUGAUACUGGUUGGCUUGAGAUUGGGAGAGGGACGCGGAAUUCCAGGUGUAGCGGUGAAAUGCGUAGAUAUGGGGAGGAACACCGGUGGCGAAGGCGGCCACCUGGACGGCAACUGACGCUGAGACGCGAAAGCGUGGGGAGCAAACAGG
rnacentral:rRNA from 1 species